AGUGAACGCUGGCGGCGUGCUUAACACAUGCAAGUCGAACGAGAACGGAUUAUAGCUUGCUAUAAUUGUCAGCUAAGUGGCGCACGGGUGAGUAAUGCAUAGGUAAUAUGCCUCUUACUAAGGGAUAACAAAUGGAAACGUUUGCUAAUACCUUAUACUCCUUAUUAACAGAAGUUAAGAAGGGAAAGAUUUAUUGGUAAGAGAUUAGCCUGUAUUGUAUCAGUUAGUUGGUGGGGUAAUGGCUUACCAAGACUAUGACACAUAACUGGUUUGAGAGGAUGAUCAGUCACACUGGAACUGAGACACGGUCCAGACUCCUACGGGAGGCAGCAGUGGGUAAUAUUGCACAAUGGACGAAAGUCUGAUGCAGCAACGCCGCGUGGAGGAUGACACAUUUCGGUGCGUAAACUCCUUUUAUAUGAGAAGAUAAUGACGGUAUUAUAUGAAUAAGCACCGGCUAACUCCGUGCCAGCAGCCGCCGUAA
rnacentral:rRNA from 1 species